rfam:Macaca mulatta chromosome 12, whole genome shotgun sequence.
AAGGGAAAGAUGAAAGAGCUAUAUCAAGCACUAAAAAGCAAAGACAAGCCCUUAUACCUUCUGCAUAAUCUAUUAACUAGAAAUAACUUUACACACAGAACUAUAGCCAAGUCCCCCAAAACCAGAUGAGCUACUGAAGAACAGCUGAAAGACCACAUUCACCUAUGUGGCAAAAUAGUGGGAGGAUUCAUGAGUAACAGUGACAAGCCUACCGAGCCUGGUGGUAGCUCAUUGUCCAAGAUAGACUCUUAGUUCAACUUUAAACUUACCCACAGAAUGAUGUAAUUCCCCUGUAAGUUUAACUGUUAGUCUAGAGAGGGACAGCUCUUUAGACCUUGGGAAACAACCUUCCUGCAGAGAGUAAAAAUUAUUACCACCACAGUUGGCCCAAAAGCAUCCACCAAUUAAGAAAGCGUUUAAGUUCAACAUCUUACUAUCUUGAAUUCUAAUCACUUUACUGAACUCCUAACGUCACAUUGGACUAAUCUAUUACUUAAUAGAAGCAAUCAUGUUAAUAUAAAUAACAUGAAGACAUUCUCCAUUGUGUAAGCUUACAUCAGACCGCAAUAACCCACUGACAGUUAACAGCCCAAUAUUAGUAAAUGAUAUAAUAAGCACCCUAUUAUAUUCACUGUUAACCCAACACAGUCAUGCUCUAAGGAAAGAUUACAAAAAGUAAAAGGAAUUCAGCAAAUCUUACCCCACCUGUUUACCAAAACACCACCUCUAGCAUUAUCAGUAUUAGAGGCACUGCCUGCCCAGUGACAUAUGUUCAACAGCCGCGAUAUCCUAACCUUGCAAAGGUAGCAUAAUUACUUGUUCCCUAAAUAGGGACUUGUAUGAAUGGCCAGACGAGGGUUCAGCUGUGUUUUACUUUUAAUCAGUGACAUUGACCUAUCUGUGAAGUGGCGGAUAUAAACAAAUAAGAUGAGAAGACCCUAUGCAGCUUUAAUUCGUUAAUGCAAAUGAAAACUCAAGCCUACAGGCCCUAGCCUACUAUCACCGUAUUAAAAAUUUUAAACUGCUUGGCCAGGCGCAAUGGCUCAUGCCUGUAAUCCCAGCACUUUGGGAGGCCGAGGCGGGUGGAUCACCUGAGGUCAGGAGUUCAAAACAAGCCUGGCCAACAUGGUGAAACUCCAUCUCUACAAAAAUACAAAAAUUAGUUGGGCAUGAUAGCGGGUGCUGGUAAUCCCAGCUACUCAGGAGGCUGGGGCGGAAGAAUUGUUUGAACCCAGGAGGCAGAGGUUUCAGUGAGCCGAGACCACACCAUUGCACUCCAACCUGGGCGACAGAUGGAGACUCUGUCUCAAAAAAAAAAAAAAAAAAAAAAAAUUUGGUUGGGGUGACCUCAGAGCAUAAUUCAACGUCCAAACAAUCUAAACUAAGACCUCACUAGUCUAAGUGAGUUUUUACACAUUACGCAAUAAUUUGAUCAACGGAAUAAGUUAGCCUAGGGAUAACAGCACAAUCCUAUUCUAGAGUCCAUAUCGACAAUAGGGUUUACAACCUCAAUGUUGGAUCAGGACAUCCUAUUGUGUAACCACUAUUGAGGGUUUGUUUGUUCAAUAAUUAAUGUCCUUUGUGAUCUGAGUUCAGACCGGAGUAAUCCAGGUUGGUUUCUAUCUAGUUAACAUUUCUCCUUU